UGGUUAAGAAGUGGGAAAGGUCUGGCACUGGCUACAGAGAUACACUUUUUUAAUAAACAGUAUUUCGAGUUACUUAAGUGUUUAGAGUUGUUUAAUUUCUUUCUAUCUUUAGAGUAGUUGUCUAAAAACGAAACCGAAGCUGUGUGAAGGAAAUCAUAAUGCUAAAGAUUCCAGCAGCUGUUGAAGCAGCACACACUGCCAUGCUGAGGGCUUUAAGCAGAAACAACAGCAGCAGAGACACUGAGCAGCUACUGUUACUAAUUCCUACAUUUAAACAGAAAGGGCACGGUGGCUGAACCCCAGUACACUUCAGUGUCACUGACCAGCUCCAGUCAAAAACUGUGCCGUAAUAUGGACACGAGCAGGAGUGUAUGAAGCAGAGGUUGGUGUUGGAGGACACUGAGGCGUGGCAGAAGGAGCCGGACUUUAGGGGCUGGAGAGAGUCGGGGGAGUCGACCUGUCAUUUAUUAAAGGAGAUGAACACAAUGCCUGCGCUCAACUCGUCAUACUCAACUACCCCGACCUCCAGGUGGUAUACGAUGUCAGUGAGAUGGUGUGUCUCA
ensembl:lncRNA